rnacentral:rRNA from 1 species
CCUACGGGGGGCAGCAGUGAGGAAUAUUGGUCAAUGGACGGAAGCCUGAACCAGCCAUGCCGCGUGCAGGAAGACGGCUCUAUGAGUUGUAAACUGCUUUUGUACAGGGGUAAACCUGAGUACGUGUAUUCAGCUGAAAGUACUGUACGAAUAAGGAUCGGCUAACUCCGUGCCAGCAGCCGCGGUAAUACGGAGGAUCCAAGCGUUAUCCGGAUUUAUUGGGUUUAAAGGGUGCGUAGGCGGAUUGAUAAGUUAGAGGUGAAAUGUCCGGGCUUAACUCGGGAACUGCCUUUAAUACUGGUGAUCUAGAGAGUAGAUGAGGUAGGCGGAAUGUGUGGUGUAGCGGUGAAAUGCUUAGAGAUCAUGCAGAACACCGAUUGCGAAGGCAGCUUACCAAACUGUAACUGACGUUGAGGCACGAAAGCGUGGGGAGCAAACAGGAUUAGAUACCCGUGUAGUC